rnacentral:rRNA from 1 species
UACGGAGGGUGCGAGCGUUGUCCGGAAUUACUGGGCGUAAAGCGCACGUAGGCGGAUUUGUUAGUCAGGGGUGAAAUCCCGGGGCUCAACCUCGGAACUGCCUUUGAUACUGCAAGUCUCGAGUCCGAUAGAGGUGAGUGGAAUUCCUAGUGUAGAGGUGAAAUUCGUAGAUAUUAGGAGGAACACCGGUGGCGAAGGCGGCCCACUGGCUCGACACUGACGCUGAGGUGCGAAAGCGUGGGGAGCAAACAGG